GAUGAACGCUAGCUACAGGCUUAACACAUGCAAGUCGAGGGACCGGCGCACGGGUGAGUAACACGUAUCCAACCUACCCUUUACUCGGGGAUCGCCUUUCGAAAGAAAGAUUAAUACCCGAUAUAAAGGAUGGGGAUGCGGUCCAUUAGGUGGUUGGGGAGGUAACGGCCCACCAAGCCUUCGAUGGAUCUGGGUUCUGAGAGGCAGGUCCCCCACAUUGGAACUGAGACACGGUCCAAACUCGUACGGUGGGCAGCAGUGAGUAAUAUUGGUCAAUGGGCGUGAGCCUGAACCAGCCAAGUAGCGUGAAGGAUGAAGGCUUAUGGGUCGUAAACUUCUUUUAUAUAAGAAUAUGUAUUAUAUGAAUAAGGAUCGGCUAACUCCGUGCCAGCAGCCGCGGUAAUAC
rnacentral:rRNA from 1 species